UGGUGUGCUAUAGUCCAUGGGGUUGCGAAGAGUCUGACAUGACUUAGCAACUAAACAACAACCAGGAGAAAAUCAAUCUAGUCCCACAUAUUCACAUCUGAUGUUAUUUACAGGAAGAUCAUACACAUUUAAAACACUAGUAGGACAGUCACUUCUGGAAGUGCUAACAACUUUCUAAGCAAUAUAAGUCAUCAAGAAUAAAAGCAGGUUUGACUUCAUAAAAACGUAAAACAUCUGCACAUUUGGAAAACACCUUAAACAGACUAUUAAUGCAAAUUAAUGAAAGAUACUGAGAAAAAAAUAAAAAUAGUUUUGACAUUGGAACUAUCUACAUGCUUUACAUAAUUAAAAUAAAAUUAAAACUAAAAGACACGGAAAUCCCCAAAUACUGAUUUCAACUAACCCAAAAGAUGGGACAACCUGAAACCCAAAGUUUCAAAAACUGAAAUGAAUUGAAACAAACAAAUUACAUAAAAACCCUUGAGUUAAUGUUUCUUCAGCUCUGAAAAAUAAUCUUCUCUGACUUUGAAUGGCCUUCCAUCUACUGCCUUUGUUCCUUCCAUUACAAAACUCUCUAGACAGAUGUAGUAGCUUCUGGAAAUUCUUUAUAUCUUUGUCCUGUUUUGAAAGAGUUCCUCAGCUGAAUGUUGCAGCUCAUUAAAAUAAUAUUCAUCUGUGCCCAUGUCUGGCCAGGCCACUCCAGAUGGCUGUUUUCUUGCCCUCUGUACAUCCCCUGCCUGAUCAGUGCCUGUUUCACCUACGCCCUACUCACAGGACUGAACUGCCUACCUGCCCCAGGCCCCAGCUGAUGGUUGUUCUUAUCAAAGAGGCAGUGAGGGGUGGCCCCUCUGCUGGUCUCCUUGGUAACUAAUGAGCCCACCUGACAUCAGUUCCCCUAUCUUCGGCGAUUUCUGCCCUGGAGUGCAGAAGGUCUCCAUGUCCUACCCACCCUCAGCCGCACACGGUGAGGUGCUGCUCCAGGACUUUGCUGCAGACAAGGAGUUGGAGUGAACACAGAAAUACAAGACACUAGAAGUGGGGUCAAGUCCACACAGAAGUAGCCCACACAGUCAUCAGAUGAGUCAUCUGUGUUCUGAAGGAACUGUGCCGCCUAAUAGCACCACCUGAAGACUCUCUGCCAGAUGGCAGAACCCUCCAUCAGAUGGUGACUGCACCCAUGAAAUUAAAAGACUUCACAUUCCAGGAUUUCUGGCUCUAGAUAAAUGUGGAACCCAGCCCUCCUCAAGCCUGUUGCAGGGUCAUGGUGCGCCCUCUGGUGGCCAGUCUUUCAAUGGCCUCACCCGCCCUGUUGAGCAAACUGAAGGCACUCUCUCCUGGUACCUAAGAUGAAAGCGCCCAAGGUACAAGAGCAGCUGGAACAAGCAUUGCUGCCUGCAGGCGUUCCUGUCCACCAGCCACGUGUCAGUGGGCGGCCUCCGGAACCAGCCCUGCUGUGUAUGUGCAGGCGGUUCCUGGUGGGGGUGGGGAGGUCGGGGCCAUUUGGAUGCUCCUGUUCACAGAGCUCCUCCUGAAUCUUUCUUACCCCCCAGGGGAGCGUGCGCAGGAAGUCAGGGACUCAGCACGUUGAAAUGGAUCUGGGAAGGCACACAGUCCAAAUCUCUGCAUCCCUUCCUUCCCAUCUGUGGCUUUAAUCUCCUUCACAGCAUCUCAAUGAAGUGGUCAUUCACCCUCUGCUUAAACGUAGCCAGUGUCCAAAACUCUUAGAGGCCCCCUCCAUUUUCAAACCUCUUAAAUCAUUUGAACAUUUUUUCCUCUUACGAACACAUGUGCUAAGUCGCUUCAGUUGUGUUUGACUUUGUGAGACCCUAUGACUGUAGCCUGCCAGGCGCCUCUAUCCAUGGGAUUCUCCAGGCACAAAUA